rnacentral:tRNA from 1 species
AGGGACUUAGGAUAAAACCCAAACCGAAAGCCUUCAAAGCUUUAAAUAGAAGUGAGAAUCUUCUAGCCCCUG